GCUUGAUAAAGUUCAUUGUUCAGUCAGAAUUGCUUCUUUUUUUUUUUUUUCUUUUAUAUAGUAAAUUCAAUUACAUUGUCUAAAAUAUACAAACAUCAACUCUCUUAAGCUGAGGCAUCCUUGUUGUAUGUAUCAUGUAUGACAUCAUAUACUAUCUGCUUAUUGCUGGAAACUGAUUACAGAUUCAGUUGACCUGCAAAUUCACCUGGAAGCAUCAGCAUGACUGGAUCACUGGCCAUCCCUCACAGGGAGAUGUCUCCACCAUCUCAGCUAUGGAAGGCUCCUUGUUGUGCCAGACAAAUGUGGAUUUUGCAUAGUUGAUUAUUUUGAUUGUUUUUAAGCAGUUUUGUUUUUGGUGAAUAUCUUAUUAUUCAAUAACUUUCUUUAUGAUUUUUAUCUUUUAAAUACAGUAAGGCUCAACAGAACAAUGUUGAAAUUACAGCUACUGUACAUAGCUGUGAAAGGUUGCCUAGAAGUGAGAUUUUCUGUUAUUUCAGGUCCAGGUAAGUUCUUUUAGGGCACAAUUCUGUGUAUAAACUAUCUCUAAAGCCCAGCAGUUGAUUAUGCCCAUUGAUCAGAGGCCAAAGCCUAAUUACAAGCCUGCAUUUACUCUUCUUUGGCCAUGAGAGAUUUGUUUUUUAGGAGGAUGCUCAUAUACUCUUGGCUCACAGGAUGGCAAAAUUGAAGCUGAAGUUAAAAUCACUGGAAUUCUCAGCUUAGGAGCAUUGCAGCCUGAGGAAUCCAGAAAAUAUGGUACAACUAUUGCUCCUGGGUCACAUGCACCAGUCCAUCAACACUUCUUUGUUGCUCGUAUGGACAUGACCAUGGAUUGUAGGCCUGGUGAAACAUUCAAUCGGGGAGAGUUACGCCCAUUUUUCUCAUUGCCAAAAGUUAUGGAUGGCCUUUUCAGUCUUGCCAAGUUGCUUUUCGAUAUCAACAUUGAAUCAGCUGAUGGCCUAGCCCCGGUAACAUCUAAGCAGUCUCAUCAUUGCCUACUCUUUGGUCCUUUUAAUGUUAAGCGUACAUUGCUUCUAUGGACUCUCAGCUUAAAAACUUCAGUGGUGGCUACUGCUUUGCGUUAAAGCUAUUGAAUUAUUACAGAAUGAGUUGAAGUUGACUGGGGGCUUUUUUCAUUUUUGUUCUGGUGUUAUUCAUGUAAUGGAGGCUCCUUGUAUGAACUAUUGGUUACCACGCAGCAUGACUAAUUGUGGAAUUUGAAUGAAGUUCAUAUUUCAUUA